UCUCAUCUCUCUCACCUCGUCUCCUUAGAGACUGAAAUCCCUAACCUUAAUUCGCCGUCCCUUGUCCCACUGCGUUUUCUAGCGGCGCCACCCCAAACCAUCCCAAAUUAAUACCACGUAACCCCUUUCACCUCCUUACUCCAAAUAUCCACCCCGUUUACCUUGAAAUUUGCCAGAAAUGUUCGAAUCUUGAAUCAACAUUUGAGCCCUAAAAGCCUAAAACAAGAUCUAUUCAUGCAAACCCAUUUAUUUGAGUUGUCUUGAGCUCUCAAGUUUGCACCAGAAAUAAUGUUGUUCACCUGUUCUUGAUAGAGAACAUGCAUUUGAAAUUAUUUGAGGUUAAAUUAGUUUCAGUUCGAUUUCAAAUCAAUUGGUGAGUUCUCUUUCUUUGUGCAUUAUUGUUCGUCUCUUCUUUUCUUCCUCUUCUUCUCUUCUGCUUGAAUGGCAUAUCCUCCAUAUGAAUUUGUUCAAAAUUUUCAAACCUUGUUUUUUCCUUCAGAUUAUUCAUUUUGUUAGUUUUAAAUUUUUCUCUUCAAGUUUGUAACUGCUGUUCUCCGUUUUCUUAAUUUUAUUUUGGGUUAGGGCAUUCUUUAUUAAUUAGCUUGAAUGAGAUUUUUGUUAAUUUGGUUUAAUGCUGGUUUGGUAUAUAACUUAAAAGAAAAUCAAUGGCUAGAUUAGAUUUUGGGAUUUUGUAGUUGUUCAUUUGUUUUUCCUUUCUACUUCUUGUUCGAAUUGGUUAAUUGGAUUUCUGACCCUUUUGGUUUGGGCCUUGAGUUCGAUUUUGAUUCAUUCAUUUGGGUUUGAACCAUUGGGUCAAAGCUGACCCAUGACCCAUUUUGGUUUCAGGGGUAAUAACAUGGUGCUUUAGGGGUAGUAUAGGUAUUUAGGAUAAGGAAUCUUGGGGUAAAAGAUUAGGGAAGCUUCUAGUAAGUUAUGGGUAGUGACUAAUGUGGAAAUUUGAUUUUAGACUAGGGUUUUCUGAGAAAAAAUGAAAACAUAAAAGGAUAGAAGUGUAAAUUUUAAUUCUUUGAGGAUGUCAUAAUGCCUUUCCUAUAAAGGUACCAUGACUUGGUAUUCAAGUCAGAAAAAAAGAGAAACAAUUUAUGGGAAAACUUGAAACGACUGACUUUAAAAAUCAACACUAAAUUUACUGCAUAUUUGGUUAGAAAUUGCUCGAAAUUGGGUUUGUUUUGUUAAAUUUCUGAUCUUUCCCCUUAGCUAAAAUCCUUAAAAACCACAAAUUCUGGCGUUCGAGUAAAAAUGGUCUGAGUUUUGGGAUUUUAAAUCUUAUUUGAGAGAUGUUUGAUUUUGAACCUACUAUUCCAUUGCUGGAAGUCGGAACUAACUUCUGCUACUGGUGUUCUUGCUAAUCACUCACUCUUUGAUCUUUAUUCUCUUUUGAAUUCCAGGUACAUUUUCUAAAUUCUACCAGAUGUAUGUUUCAGUUUGAAGUUGGAAAUGAGAUUUGAAAGCUUGGCAAUAGUUUUGUUUGUGUUUCAUUUACAUUUCUUCAUGAUGUUUGUGC
rnacentral:lncRNA from 1 species